UGGCACAACGGUUAAAGCUGCCACCAAUUUAAGCCUACUCUUAAUCAGAAAUAAUCUCACAAGGACCCUUCCUUACUGGAGCAGAAAAAUUGCUAUACAUGCUGCAAUGAACUCCCAAAGAAAAAUGAAGAAUAUUGAAUGAGUGAGUGAAUAAAAGUGGAGUUGGCUGUGAAAAAAAGAGAAAACUUAAUGUGAAGAAUGUUGUUAACGUCUCACAGUUUACUCAAAGGAAGCCUGCAAGGACCCUGCAGGACCUGUAUGAAUUUGAUUUCACAGUCUAGUGAAAUGUGUAGAAGACAUGAUUAAUUAAGCAAUAAAGAAAAGCCAUAAAUAAGGUAAAGCCCACUCUGGAAAAAUACCUGAGGUCAAUGUUAUAAUGCAUAACUAGAAACAUGGGACACUGCCAGUAGAAAACAGGAACAAAAUCCAAGCUGCAUUCAAGCAGAGGCUAGAAGCAGAAUCCCCUUUUGUGGAUUGAAGAUUGACAAUAGUGGAUCAUCAGUAAUUAAGUAAACAGAAUUUCAUGUGAAGAGAGAAGAGGAAGGCAUUCAAAGGGGAAAAACAUUUGAGCUGAACCACAAAAUAAGAUGACAGCUAGAAGAUGACUAUGAAAUUUACAACAGACAACAAUUCAUGAAAGCAGCUGAGGCCAAAAGCAGCAUGAAAACAUACUGGAAGUAACUGAAAGGGGGGGGCGCCCUGAGUCCUUCGGGAGAAGGGCGGUAUAGAAAUAAAAUUAUUAUUAU